AGUGAACGCUGGCGGUAGGCCUAACACAUGCAAGUCGAACGGCAGCACAGUAAGAGCUCGCUCUUACGGGUGGCGAGUGGCGGAUGGGUGAGGAAUACAUCGGAAUCUACUUUUUCGUGGGGGAUAACGUAGGGAAAGUUACGCUAAUACCGCAUACGACCUACGGGUGAAAGCAGGGGAUCUUCGGACCUUGCGCGAUUGAAUGAGCCGAUGUCGGAUUAGCUAGUUGGCGGGGUAAAGGCCCACCAAGGCGACGAUCCGUAGCUGGUCUGAGAGGAUGAUCGGCCACACUGGAACUGAGACACGGUCCAGACUCCUACGGGAGGCAGCAGUGGGGAAUAUUGGACAAUGGGCGCAAGCCUGAUCCAGCCAUACCGCGUGGGUGAAGAAGGCCUUCGGGUUGUAAAACCCUUUUGUUGGGAAAGAAAAGCAGCAUGUUAAUACCCCGCUGUUUUGACGGUACCCAAAGAAUAAGCACCGGCUAACUUCGUG
rnacentral:rRNA from 1 species